rnacentral:rRNA from 1 species
AACGAACGCUGGCGGCAGGCCUAACACAUGCAAGUCGAGCGCACCCUUCGGGGCGAGCGGCGGACGGGUUAGUAACGCGUGGGAACGUACCCUUUUCUACGGAAUAGCCAUUGGAAACGAUGAGUAAUACCGUAUACGCCCUUCGGGGGAAAGAUUUAUCGGAGAAGGAUCGGCCCGCGUUAGAUUAGAUAGUUGGUGGGGUAAUGGCCUACCAAGUCUACGAUCUAUAGCUGGUUUUAGAGGAUGAUCAGCAACACUGGGACUGAGACACGGCCCAGACUCCUACGGGAGGCAGCAGUGGGGAAUCUUAGACAAUGGGCGCAAGCCUGAUCUAGCCAUGCCGCGUGAGUGAUGAAGGCCUUAGGGUCGUAAAGCUCUUUCGCCAGGGAUGAUAAUGACAGUACCUGGUAAAGAAACCCCGGCUAACUCCGUGCCAGCAGCCGCGGUAAUACGGAGGGGGUUAGCGUUGUUCGGAAUUACUGGGCGUAAAGCGCACGUAGGCGGAUCAGAAAGUAGAGGGUGAAAUCCCGGGGCUCAACCCCGGAACUGCCUCCUAAACUCCUGGUCUAGAGUUCGAGAGAGGUGAGUGGAAUUCCGAGUGUAGAGGUGAAAUUCGUAGAUAUUCGGAGGAACACCAGUGGCGAAGGCGGCUCACUGGCUCGAUACUGACGCUGAGGUGCGAAAGUGCGGGGAGCAAACAGG